GUCUACGGCCAUGCCACCCUGAAUGUGCUCAAUCUCAUCUGAUCUCAGAAGCUAAGCAGAGUUGGGCCUGGUUAGUACUUGGAUGGGAGACCACCUAGGAAUACCAGGUGCUGUAGGCA
rnacentral:rRNA from 1 species